rnacentral:rRNA from 1 species
CGGUUAAGUUAGAAAGGGCGCACGGUGGAUGCCUUGGCACUAGGAGCCGAUGAAGGACGGGACGAACACCGAUAUGCUUCGGGGAGCUGUAAGCAAGCUUUGAUCCGGAGAUUUCCGAAUGGGGAAACCCACCACUCGUAAUGGAGUGGUAUCCAUAUCUGAAUACAUAGGAUAUGAGAAGGCAGACCCGGGGAACUGAAACAUCUAAGUACCCGGAGGAAGAGAAAGCAAAUGCGAUUCCCUGAGUAGCGGCGAGCGAAACGGGAUCAGCCCAAACCAAGAGGCUUGCCUCUUGGGGUUGUAGGACACUCUGUACGGAGUUACAAAGGAACGAGGUAGAUGAAGAGGUCUGGAAAGGCCCGCCAUAGGAGGUAACAGCCCUGUAGUCAAAACUUCGUUCUCUCCUGAGUGGAUCCUGAGUACGGCGGAACACGUGAAAUUCCGUCGGAAUCCGGGAGGACCAUCUCCCAAGGCUAAAUACUCCCUAGUGACCGAUAGUGAACCAGUACCGUGAGGGAAAGGUGAAAAGCACCCCGGAAGGGGAGUGAAAGAGAUCCUGAAACCGUGUGCCUACAAGUAGUCAGAGCCCGUUAACGGGUGAUGGCGUGCCUUUUGUAGAAUGAACCGGCGAGUUACGAUCCCGUGCAAGGUUAAGCAGAAGAUGCGGAGCCGCAGCGAAAGCGAGUCUGAAUAGGGCGAAUUGAGUACGUGGUCGUAGACCCGAAACCAGGUGAUCUACCCAUGUCCAGGGUGAAGUUCAGGUAACACUGAAUGGAGGCCCGAACCCACGCACGUUGAAAAGUGCGGGGAUGAGGUGUGGGUAGGGGUGAAAUGCCAAUCGAACCUGGAGAUAGCUGGUUCUCUCCGAAAUAGCUUUAGGGCUAGCCUCAAGGUAAGAGUCUCGGAGGUAGAGCACUGAUUGGACUAGGGGCCCCUACCGGGUUACCGAAUUCAGUCAAACUCCGAAUGCCGAUGACUUAUCCUUGGGAGUCAGACUGCGAGUGAUAAGAUCCGUAGUCGAAAGGGAAACAGCCCAGACCGCCAGCUAAGGUCCCAAAGUAUACGUUAAGUGGAAAAGGAUGUGGAGUUGCUUAGACAACCAGGAUGUUGGCUUAGAAGCAGCCACCAUUUAAAGAGUGCGUAAUAGCUCACUGGUCGAGUGACUCUGCGCCGAAAAUGUACCGGGGCUAAACGUAUCACCGAAGCUGCGGACUGUUCUUCGAACAGUGGUAGGAGAGCGUUCUAAGGGCUGUGAAGCAAGACCGGAAGGACUUGUGGAGCGCUUAGAAGUGAGAAUGCCGGUAUGAGUAGCGAAAGAGGGGUGAGAAUCCCCUCCACCGAAUGCCUAAGGUUUCCUGAGGAAGGCUCGUCCGCUCAGGGUUAGUCGGGACCUAAGCCGAGGCCGAAAGGCGUAGGCGAUGGAUAACAGGUUGAUAUUCCUGUACCACCUCCUCACCAUUUGAGCAAUGGGGGGACGCAGGAGGAUAGGGUAAGCGCGGUAUUGGAUAUCCGCGUCCAAGCAGUUAGGCUGGGAAAUAGGCAAAUCCGUUUCCCGUGAAGGCUGAGCUGUGAUGGCGAGCGAAUUAUAGUAGCGAAGUUCCUGAUUCCACACUGCCAAGAAAAGCCUCUAGCGAGGUGAGAGGUGCCCGUACCGCAAACCGACACAGGUAGGCGAGGAGAGAAUCCUAAGGUGAUCGAGAGAACUCUCGUUAAGGAACUCGGCAAAAUGACCCCGUAACUUCGGGAGAAGGGGUGCUCUGUUAGGGUGCAAGCCCGAGAGAGCCGCAGUGAAUAGGCCCAGGCGACUGUUUAGCAAAAACACAGGUCUCUGCGAAGCCGUAAGGCGAAGUAUAGGGGCUGACGCCUGCCCGGUGCUGGAAGGUUAAGAGGAGCGCUUAGCGUAAGCGAAGGUGCGAAUUGAAGCCCCAGUAAACGGCGGCCGUAACUAUAACGGUCCUAAGGUAGCGAAAUUCCUUGUCGGGUAAGUUCCGACCCGCACGAAAGGCGCAACGAUCUGGGCACUGUCUCAACGAGAGACUCGGUGAAAUUAUAGUACCUGUGAAGAUGCAGGUUACCCGCGACAGGACGGAAAGACCCCGUGGAGCUUUACUGCAGCCUGAUAUUGAAUGUUGGUACAGCUUGUACAGGAUAGGUAGGAGCCUUGGAAACCGGAGCGCCAGCUUCGGUGGAGGCAUCGGUGGGAUACUACCCUGGCUGUAUUGACCUUCUAACCCGCCGCCCUUAUCGGGCGGGGAGACAGUGUCAGGUGGGCAGUUUGACUGGGGCGGUCGCCUCCUAAAAGGUAACGGAGGCGCCCAAAGGUUCCCUCAGAAUGGUUGGAAAUCAUUCGCAGAGUGUAAAGGCACAAGGGAGCUUGACUGCGAGACCUACAAGUCGAGCAGGGACGAAAGUCGGGCUUAGUGAUCCGGUGGUUCCGCAUGGAAGGGCCAUCGCUCAACGGAUAAAAGCUACCCCGGGGAUAACAGGCUUAUCUCCCCCAAGAGUCCACAUCGACGGGGAGGUUUGGCACCUCGAUGUCGGCUCAUCGCAUCCUGGGGCUGUAGUCGGUCCCAAGGGUUGGGCUGUUCGCCCAUUAAAGCGGUACGCGAGCUGGGUUCAGAACGUCGUGAGACAGUUCGGUCCCUAUCCGUCGCGGGCGCAGGAAAUUUGAGAGGAGCUGUCCUUAGUACGAGAGGACCGGGAUGGACGCACCGCUGGUGUACCAGUUGUUCUGCCAAGGGCAUCGCUGGGUAGCUAUGUGCGGACGGGAUAAGUGCUGAAAGCAUCUAAGCAUGAAGCCCCCUCAAGAUGAGAUUUCCCAUUCCGCAAGGAAGUAAGAUCCCUGAAAGAUGAUCAGGUUGAUAGGUCUGAGGUGGAAGUGUGGCGACACAUGGAGCUGACAGAUACUAAUCGAUCGAGGACUUAACCAAUUU